UAAAUAACAAACUGCGCCCGGAGAAGUUCCUUCCAAGUUGCUUUCGGACAGGGGUUCGAUUCCCCUCGGCUCCACCA
rnacentral:tmRNA from 1 species